rnacentral:rRNA from 1 species
AUUGAACGCUAGCGGGAUGCUUUACACAUGCAAGUCGAACGAGUGGCGGACGGGUGAGUAAUAUCUCGGAACGUGCCCAGUAGCGGGGGAUAACUACUCGAAAGGGUAGCUAAUACCGCAUACUAUCGGCGCGGCCGAUAUCGGAUUAGCUCGUUGGUGGGGUAACGGCUCACCAAGGCAACGAUCCCUAGCUGGUUUGAGAGGACGACCAGCCACACUGGGACUGAGACACGGCCCAGACUCCUACGGGAGGCAGCAGUGGGGAAUUUUGGACAAGGGGGGAAACCCUGAUGCAGCCAUCCCGCGUGUAUGAGAAGGCCUUCGGGUUGUAAAGUACUUUUGGCAGAGAAGCGGUAUCUGCAGAAUAAGCACCGGCUAACUACGUGCCAGCAGCCGCGGUAAUUC